UCCAGACUCCUACGGGAGGCAGCAGUGGGGGAUAUUGCACAAUGGGGGAAACCCUGAUGCAGCGACGCCGCGUGAGUGAAGAAGUAUUUCGGUAUGUAAAGCUCUAUCAGCAGGGAAGAAAAAAGACGGUACCUGACUAAGAAGCCCCGGCUAACUACGUGCCAGCAGCCGCGGUAAUACGUAGGGGGCAAGCGUUAUCCGGAUUUACUGGGUGUAAAGGGAGCGUAGACGGCAAUACAAGUCGGAAGUGAAAUACCCGGGCGCAACCUGGGAACUGCUUUGGAAACUGUAUGGCUGGAGUGCUGGAGAGGUAAGCGGAAUUCCUAGUGUAGCGGUGAAAUGCGUAGAUAUUAGGAGGAACACCAGUGGCGAAGGCGGCUUACUGGACAGUAACUGACGUUGAGGCUCGAAAGCGUGGGGAGCAAACAGGAUUAGAUACCCCAGUAU
rnacentral:rRNA from 1 species